rnacentral:rRNA from 1 species
CCGUGAUGGACUAACCGUCUGUCGCUGGGAAGAAGCUUAACUUGGGGGAAACUGCCACGAAAAUAAAACUUUAAUCUAAGUUUGCCUUUCUUUAAUUUUGUUAUUUUAGAAAUUUAAAUUAUUAAUUUAAUUUUUUCCUAGUCCCUUAUCCUAAAGAUGAGGAGACAUAGGUAGGUAGUUUUUAUUUAUAUAUUUUUAUUUUAGUAUAAAAAAUAAUAAUUUUUGCAUUAAAAAAACACUUAUAUUAAGCUAUUUAGUAUCUGUUAACCCAUUUAAGUAACAUCUCAAAAGUCAUAGCAAGGUAGCUUGUACUGGG